ensembl:lncRNA LINC02228 long intergenic non-protein coding RNA 2228
AGCGCCUUUGGGCGGCGCCGGGCGUGGUGGGCCGGGAAGUAUGGCGGCCGCUCGAACGCCGCGCGGCGGAGGCCAUUAAGGCGUGGACGGCCCGGAAGGCGGCCUAGGGACGCAAGCAGGCUUGGCCGCCUCUUUCGGCCACGGAGCCGCGCAGAUCCGGUUCCCGGGUGACCACUCUGUCGCCAUUGGGCGAGACCUACCUAGUCCUGACGACAACGGACAAAGGCCUUAAGGGGCCUGAAAGCAACCUCCAGUCCUGCAAGCUUCAUUCCUGAAUGGUAGAAAGCAGUCUUCAGCCUGAGACCCAUCCCUAGACUCUAUGGCACAAAGAGGCACUACAGAAAAUCCCAGAAUUUAUUCUGACUGAAGCAAUAUGCAACUGGCAAAACUGGCAGCUGAAAGGAUCCUGAAUAAGAAGUUUACUUUAUCAGGACACAGAACUUAACUUGACAACCAGAGUCUUACAUUUAAAAAUACCUGAAUAAAACUCACUCACUAACUCAGAAGAAAUUUGAAAGACUAUGAAAAUCUUUGAAUACAAUGUAGAAGUUUUUAUUCCAAAACAGUGAAAAGGAGAGAGAGUAGAAGAGGAGAGAAGAGAGGAAGGAAGAAAAGGAGAGAAGAUGAGAAAAAAAAGCAAGUAGUGUCUUAAAUGGGAGAAAAAGUGAUAAGGAAAUAGUUUAAUUUAUUAAAGUCAAAGUUCAAUAAAAGUAAAUUAACUGCUUUAAUAUGUAAAGUAUUUUAACAAAUGAAUCACAAAAGGCUGUGAAGUUAAUUAUGGAUCCUCAAAAUGCAUAUUUGAAAAGAAUUGUCUACUUUGGAUUAGAAAUACAUAAUAUUUAUUAUUGUAGUACCAGAAUCCUCAUCUUUACUCAAGUAAUUCCCUAGGCUUUUUAUAUAAGCAAUAAAAAUUCUAAUACAUUGCUGUUUCUGAGAUUAAAAUAAAAUCCAGUAGUUUUGAAUCAAUCAGAAACAAAAUCAAAUACCUCUUAGAUUUAAUUGUGUGGGUAUUAUCUUAAAGAGAAGCAGGGUGACGCAUUGAAAAGACUAUAUUUUUUCAGCAUGCGAACCUUGGUUUAAAUGUGCUACUUGUUAUGUAAAAAUUGAAAGAAAAAAGAAAACAAUUUUCUUUGGUUAACAAAUGUGAAUUUCAUUUAUUUAUCUGAAAAAUUACAAUAAUAAAACAUACGUUUGUUACCUAUGUAUAUGUGAAUAUAUAUAUAAACACACAUAUAUACCUGUGUGUAUCAGACAGAAUUUAUGUGUUUCAUGUAUAGACAGAAGUUUGUACAUGUAAAAACAAAAAUUUUAUUCAAUAAUAUGUUAUUUAAAAUUAAAAUUGAUUGUGACUUGUA